rnacentral:rRNA from 1 species
CGAAGGUAGCGAAAUCACUUGUCUCCUAAAUAGAGACCUGUAUGAAAGGCCCAAUGAGAAAGAAACUGUCUCUUGAAGUUAGCCAAUGAAACUGAUCUGCCCGUGCAAAAGCAGGCAUAACAAAACAAGACAAAAAGACCCUGUGAAACUUAAAAUAAACGCCAAUAACAUGUCGAUAUUUUUAGGUUGGGGCAACCAAAGAGAAACAAAACCUCUAAAACACAUUAGACUAACAAGUCUAACCAAACCAAUAUGACCCAGUAAAACUGAUUAAUGAACCAAGCUACUCCAGGGAUAACAGCGCCAAAUUCUUGAAGAGUCCACAUCAACAAGAAUCCCUACGACCUCGAUGUUGGAUCAGGAUAACCCAACAGCGCAAAAG